rnacentral:misc_RNA from 1 species
UUUCCGUAGGUGAACCUGCGGAAGGAUCAUUAUUGAAUGAAACACUUCUGGCUUUAUGCUGUUGUGCUGGCCCUUUGGGCAAUGUGCACACGGCUCUGGUCACUUGUUUCUUCUGUUCCACCUGUGCACUGCCUGUAGACACGCUGUGUCUAUGAUAUUUGUUAACACACAACAAUGUUAGUUGGCAUGUUAUAUAUAAUAAUAAAAUAUACAACUUUCAACAACGGAUCUCUUGGCUCUCGCAUGAUGAAGAACGCAGC